GAUGUGACCUUGUUGCUAAUUUGGACCUCUUGUCUUUCAAGCUUCACAGCUGCACAGCCCUUUGAUGUAGGGACUUGAAUUUCUGGUUGAAGAUUGUCCAAGUGACUCAAGUUUGUCCCCUCCCCCCUCCACUAUACAAUGCUGAAACGGGAAGAUGGAUAUCAAGAUAUGGCUUUAUGUUUCCACUCACCCAAUACUCGGUUUGGCGAAGGUUCAUAGCUUAGUGGAAGAGCAUCUGUUUUGCAUGCAGAACGUCCCAGGUUCAAUCCCUGGCAUCUCCAGGUUUUCAGCAGCCUGACAGAGCGCACUGUGUCAGAGGCAUGAAGUGGCUGACGUAGAGAGUAUGUAUGUGACGGCCACCAUACAGAAAUUAUUCCUUACCCCUGACCUAAUAGUUAAACUGUAUAGGUGACACGGCCAUUAUAGAUCUGAGAAUACCCCAGAAAGAACAUAGAGAUUACUUCCCAUCAC